ensembl:lncRNA
GGGCUCCUAGGCCAGCUCACCUUCGGUGGUUGGCCCUGGUAGUUCGGGCAGAAGGCUCACUGCCGAGUAGUAGGACUUAACAGGCCUCCUCGGAGGUGGGUCACAACAUUGUGGAACAUACACUAGGACAAAACUAUAGGAAAAGUUUUUAUAGUAUGGUUCCAGCAGUGUACGUUAAAGUAGCAGAAUAGACUCGCUAUCAGCUAGUAGGCUCGACCAGGCCUCCCUGUUAAGCGAGUCCCCAGCAGCAGUCACAUCCAGCUGAUUAGACUCUUUCAGGUAGUAGGUCUCUUCAGGCCUCCCCGAAGGUGGGCUCCCACAUUUUGUGGUGGUCAGGUAGUAGGCUUUACUAGGCCUCCCUGAGGGUUAAAUCCCACAUACUGUGGUUACUAGGUGGCAGGCCCCACAGGCCUUCCUGAAGUUGAAUUCCCGCUUUUUUGAACUAUCAGGUAGUAGGCCUCAUAAGGCCUCCCUGAAGGCAAAGCCCCAAAGACAGUCAACUGGACUGCCAGUCUGGCUCACUAUCAGCUAUGGUUUUCAGGUAGUAGGCCUCUCCAGGCCUCCCUGAAAAUAAGCUUUCCACUUAGGGUGGUUUUCUGGUAACAGGUAGUAGGCCUCUCUAGGCCUCUCUGUAAGUGAACUCCCAUGCACCGUGUUUAUCAGGUAGUAGGCCUCACUAGGCCUCCCUGAAGUUGAGCUCCCACAUACUGUGGUUGUCAGCUAGUAGGCCUCACCAGGCCUCCCUGGAGGUUUAGCUCCCACAUACUGUGCGUUUCCACUAAACAGCAUGGUUUUUCAGGUAGUAGGCCCCUCCAGGCCUCCCUGUAAGCAAGCGCCCAUGUUUUGUGGUUGUCAGGAAGUAGGCCUCACCAGGCCUCUCUGUAAGCGAGCUCCCAUGUUUUGUGGUUGUCAGGUAGUAGGCCUCACCAGGCCUCCCUGGAGUUGAGCUCCCACAUACUGUGGUUGUCAGGUAGUAGGCCUCUCCAGGUCUCCCUGAGAGUAGUUUCACAGUGGUGCUGGGUUUGG